rnacentral:lncRNA from 1 species
GGGAACCUCGCUUUCCUCUGAGCAAAAGCUUGACUCUUUCCAAAAGAGUUUGAUGAGACGAGAGAUGAUAAUCUGCUCGCAGGAGGAGCUAAGGAUGAGCCCAUUGAAGACGCUGCGCUGAAGGUUGAAGCCAUGAUUCCACUUUCUCUGCAAAACUCAAACAAUAAUAAAAAAUGAUAACUUUACGAUUCAGUGAUCUAAGAAAGCGUUAAAAGAUCCAAACUUUGUAAUCAUCGAAGAGCAAAAACGAAAAAGGGUAUCUGAAAGCAAACAACUUUCUACCUAACUAACACUCGAGCAAAUAGUUAUUGAAAAAUCAAAAGACGAUUACAACUUCAACACUUACUGAGAAUUGAUCGAGAGAGGGAGGAUGGGUCAAGGGUUUUAGCAAAAGGAGGGUUAUGCAAUUGUAGAAGUUACUUAUAUAGUACACACUCUAGUCGAAUCGAAGUGUGUGCAGUUCUUCGACGAUCGCGUCUUCAAGGAUUCUGAUUGAAUCUGAGCCGUUAAUUUGGAAGUCUCUUGAACUUAAAACCCUAAAAAACUCCACCAACUCUAUUCUACACGUACGAGAGCGAGAUUGCUGAAAUCAUUUUUUUGACACGUGCGAAGCACCAAAUACGGCAUCGUUCUCCCUUGCUUGACAAUGCUAUUGUGGGCCUUUCUUAGAAAAAAAACUUCUUUCUCCCAGUUUCAGCCCACUGGUUUUAUUUAAUUUCGGUUAAUUUAGUGUUUUAUAAUUUAAUAUGGGCCCAUAAUAACGUUUUGGGGACAUAAUCUCGUCUCUCUCUCUCUCUCUCUCUCUCUCUCCAUCUGAUUCUGCCAUUGUUUAGGGUUACAGAUGGACAUGAUUAGUAGACUGUCCGAUGAUCUACUGUUGAAGAUCCUGUCAUCACUUCCUACCAAAGAUGUCGUUUCCACUAUGCUACUGUCCAAGCGGUGGAAGUUUCUUUGGACGAUGGUUCCAGCUCUUUAAUUUCAAAACGAUUUCGAAAGCUCUAAUAAGGAUGAUUACGCCAAGUUUCGACAACAUGUUUACUUGUUUAUGGUUUUGCACAAGUCUCCUGUUCUGGAAACUUUAAAGCUCAGACUUGGUUGGCAUUCCACCACCGAUGAUAUCACGAUAUGGAUCAAAAUCGCAGUGGCUCGCCGUGUUCGUAAACUCAAGAUUCACUGUUAUACCGAUGAUGAUGAUAUAUUUUUGCCGAGUUGUCUUUAUACGUAUAACAACCUCGAGGUCUUGAAACUUGGCAACUCCGUUGUUCUCGAUGUUCCUGAAGAUGUUUGUCUCCCCUCCUUGAAAACUCUGCACUUGCUGUGUGUAGAGUUUCGAAACGAAGAAUCUGCACGUAGGCUUUUAUCUGGUGGCUGUCCUGUACUUGAAGAGUUCGUUUUGGACAAAAGUGAGAACGUCUCUCCGCCUUGUUUCUAUCUGGAAGUGCCUUCCUUGCAGAGAUUGUCUAUUCUUGAUACGUAUCUAGAGGGAAACGAUUCCGACGUGAAAGUUGUGAUAAAGACUCCCUCUCUGAGGUACUUGAACGUUGUGGAUAAAUGUGAUUCUGGUCUCUUGUUUCUGAGCGAGAACAUGCCGGAUAUGGUUGUGGCAAAUGUUAGUGUUGUUUACAAAAAUCCCGAGAUGCUAAUGACAUCUUUUACAUCGGUUAAACGUCUCUCUCUUUAUGUUUAACCACCUCAAUGGUAAGCAAAACUAUAAAAGAACCAGUGUAUUAUUGUGAUUUAAAUUCGUAUUAUUUAUUUGCUCAUGUGCUCAUUAUGUUUUAGUUGGUUUCUCUGUGCAGAUUCAACAUCGUGUUGAGUUUAACCAGCUUGUUCAUCUAGAACUAUGCUCAAGUGUGGAGAAGUGGUGUGAACUACUUAAUUGGAUGCUUGAAAGUUCUCCUAAGCUAAAGGUUCUCAAGCUCAACAAGGUAUACAUUUAAACUCAACCCUAUAAUUGAUUCAGUUUUCAAGCUUUAAUUAAUGAUCUAAAACAUUCUUUUUGUGAUGUUAGUGUAAACCACAUAGAUUUGUUUAUGCGAAGCACAUUGAAUAUCCUUGGGGAAAACCGAGUUCGGUUCCUGAGUGUUUGUUGUUCCAUCUCAAUACUUUUGAAUGGAACUUUUACAAUGGGUGCCGGGAAGAGAAGAAAAUGGUGGCUUACAUCCUAAGACAUGCAAAACGGUUGAAGAGUGCGAAAAUAUCUCUGUGGGAUUUGGAUUGUGAAGAUGAAACUCAUAUAUUCACUGAGUGGCGUUCUUUCCAUAGGGCUUCAAAGUUAUGUCAGCUUCUGUCUGAACGUGAACCUAGAAGUAAUUGGUAUGAAAGUUAGAUAGUGUUGGAAAGCUGUUAUAUGUUGUUAUAUCUACUUUAUUUCUCUUACACUCUAGGUGAUAAUAUUGGUUGUACCGUAGUCCCUUUUGAGGAUUUGGCUGGAACACUAUGCAUCUUGAUUCUUUUCUUCUUGUUAUAGAAUGUAUGAGAAGGAAUCUAAUUUGCAGAUAAAAAAAAGAACAUGGUUUGUGAGCCAGAGUUUUCAUCUUUUCUUUUCGGAAAUUUGUAAUCCAUCUGAGUUUUCAUUAUGGAUAAAGAUUACAACGGUUCCAAGAGAUGGUCAAAGAACUUUGAGCCUGAAAUAUAAGAGUGCGAAAGUGUCAGGCUUUUUACCACGGGUAGAUGAGUUUAUACUCGACUUGCUGCAAGCUUUUAGGUGUUCUUGCCAUUAUCUAACACGGAGUAGAUACUGUCAAGGCAAUUCCCACAGUGUUCAGAGGACGUUCUGCUUAUGGACCGGAACAUAGCUAGCUGAUCAUCCCCUAUUUAGUAAUGCGCUGCUAUUACUUAAAACCGUAGUACUUGCAUUUGACGCAAAGAAAGCUUUAAUGAAACUGUUUGGAUGUUUUAGUGGUUCUGUAGCACUUGGAAGUUGACGACAUUUUUUUUACUUUUUGACAAAUUGAUACAUUCUUCUAGCUCUCUCUCGUUCUCUUUUUGAUCACAAGACUCAUAACCUCCUACUUUACUUGCGUCUCAUGAAACCAAGACUUGGGUUACUUAUAUCUUGUCCAAGCGUAGUUUCUUCCGCUUAUACAAUAUCUAAUUCGCAAAAUAUAAUCAAGAUUUGGGUACUAUUAACCCUGCACAAGGCGGUCUGGAUAUUGCUAGAAACACUGCAAAGUUUCUUAUAAGCAAACAGAAAAUAAGUUCGGGGAAAAACCAACACAGGUUAUAAUACUCUAGAAGAUAAAAAAAGGCAAAAACCAGAAGAAAUAGUUUUAAGGACAGAACGCGACAACAGAAAAGCCAAGAAAAAUCAUUAGCUGCAGACAGCAGUUUUUAGUCGACCUCCUCCAUCUUGCUGCCUUCAGCAUCGGCAUCAUCCUCAAGCGGGGGCAUCUCUGCAUCAGCUUCGACUGCAUCAUCCUCGUCAAUGCUCAAUCCCAGCUUCAACAUCCUGUGGAUUCUGCUCCCGAAAGUGUUUGGCUCGUCUAGGCUGAAUCCAGAAGUGAGAAGAGCAGUCUCAAAGAGGAGGAGAACAAGAUCUUUCACAGACUUGUCAUUCUUGUCGGCCUCAGCUCUCUUCCUCAGCUCGUCCAUGAUCGCAUUCUCGGGAUUGAUCUCCAUUGUCUUCUUGGAAGACAUGUAGCCAGCCAUGCUGCUGUCCCUCAAAGCCUGCGCUUUCAUGAUCCUCUCCAUGUUUGCGGUCCAGCCGUAUUCACCGGUAACGAGGCAGCAUGGUGAGUCCACAACACGGUCAGAGACAAUGACCUUCUCGACCUUGUCUCCAAGAACAUCCUUGAUGACUUUGCAAAGUCCUUCGAACUUCUCCUUGAGCUCUUCCUUUUUCUUCUUCUCGUCCUCUGACUCUCCCAGUUUCAAACCUUCUUUGGUUGCAGAGACGAGCUUCUUUCCCUCAAAUUCCUUGAGUUGCCCAAUGGCAUACUCAUCGAUGGCAUCAACCAUGUAGAGAACCUCAAACCCUUUCUUCUUGAGCUUCUCGAGGAAUGGAGAGUUCUCCACAGCCUUCUUGCUCUCACCGGUGAUGUAAAAGAUAUCCUCCUGACCUUCCUUCAUCCUUGUCACGUAGUCCUUGAGACUGGUCAACUCAUCGCCGCUCUUGGUCGAGUGGUAACGGAGCAACUCGGCGUAGUUUCAAAAUAAGAUUUUCCUUAUCAGCUUAACUAAUAAAGAGUAAUUAUACCUUGCAGUUCUCGUAUUCUGCGCACAUCUUCUCACUGUCAGUGACAAAGUAAGGAGAAAUGUAGCCACGGUCAAACUGCAUCCCUUCAACGACGUAGAGACUGUUCUCAGCGCUUUUGCCUUCUUCGAGAGUGACCACACCUUUGCGUCCAACUUUAGCCAUUGCUUCCGCAAUCAUGUUGCCUACUUCGUAGUUGUUUCCUGCACUAACUGCUGCCACAUCUGCAAGCUCACUAUCUUCCACCUGCAACCCAAAAACAUAACAAUCAUUCUAAUGAUAAUGAAACAGAGCAAUGAACACGAAAAUUUGAUUAGUGUAAUAAUACAGUACCUCUUUUGACAUCUUCUUUAACUCGGCAACAAGAGCUUUGGUGGUUUUCUCGAUUCCUCUGGUGAUCAACACCGGGUUUGCACCAGCAGCCACCACCUUUACACCUUCAGUGAUGAGACCUUGCGCAAGAACAACGGAAGUGGUCGUUCCGUCACCGGCUAAGUCAUUGGUCUUGGAAGCAGCUUGCCUCACUAGCUUAGCACCAAUGUUCUCAACUGGAUCCUCAAGCUCAACCUUUAACAGAAACAUAAGAAUCUUAAAAUCAACAAAACCAAAGGCUACUAGCUCUACUAAUCAUUACCUCUCUAGCGACUGUAACACCGUCGUUAACGAUUCUUGGUGAGCCGUACUUGCUCUCGAGAACAACGUUCCUGCCUUUAGGACCUAGAGUGACUCCAACUAGAUCCGCGAGCUUGUUCACACCAGCCUUAACACAAGGAAAACGAGACUCAUUAGAAAACAGCUGGUGAAAAUCGAAAAGUAUUAUCAUCAUUAGGGAGACUCUCACUUGAAGCUUCCUAAUGGCAGUGCCGUCUUUAUUGAAAUGCAACUGCUUAGCCGCGUAGAUCUUGGGGAACCUCGCUUUCCUCUGAGCAAAAGCUUGACUCUUUCCAAAAGAGUUUGAUGAGACGAGAGAUGAUAAUCUGCUCGCAGGAGGAGCUAAGGAUGAGCCCAUUGAAGACGCUGCGCUGAAGGUUGAAGCCAUGAUUCCACUUUCUCUGCAAAACUCAAACAAUAAUAAAAAAUGAUAACUUUACGAUUCAGUGAUCUAAGAAAGCGUUAAAAGAUCCAAACUUUGUAAUCAUCGAAGAGCAAAAACGAAAAAGGGUAUCUGAAAGCAAACAACUUUCU